UCCAACUAGGACACACACACAAACACAAACACACACACAGUUUAAACACAAUUAUUGCACAGAAAGAUAAGCUACAUUUGCUGCUUGAAUUCCAAAUAUACAAAGUUCGGAGUGUAGUACGGGCCACAUGAAGUGAUGCCCACAAACUAUCUACGUGGCCCACACUGAUGAUGCAGCUGUAGUGCAGGGUUGUGGGUUGGAUUGAGGUAGAAGUCAAAUGUGCACAAUAGUGAACCAACAGUGAGUCAACAGCAGAAUGCACCCUGUUGGGGGCGGUGUUGAGACCCUGCGCCUGCAAUUAGUGACUGUGCUGGUACUGCAGCUGCACUGUUCUGCCAGCAGGGUUAUGAGCAGAAGCUUAGCCAUUUUUUUGGACUGUGUACCAUCUACUGUCUCCUCUGUCCCACACAGGACUGUAGCUGCCCACUGAGUUUGGACUCAAAACCUCCACACUGACAGCAGUCUCUGCAGUGAAGCCAACACAGUCCACUUCACCGAGCAGCUUUCACCAAACCUUCUGGGGAGAUCCCUCAGAGGUCCUGGGCCCGCCAAGAGACGUACGGUCCAUGGUCUGCCUCGGGGUCUCCUCCCAGAUCUACAUUCCCACAACACCUCCCCAGAGAGGUCCAGAGGGCAUCCUCACCAGAUGUCUGUUUGACAUCUACACUUUGAGCUGCUUCACAACGUCCAGGGUAAAGACUUGUUUUUUUUUUUUUUAAUUCGGCAGAGGAAAAAUGACUUUUUUUUUUUUGCAACCUUUUCUUGCCUUUAUCUAAAGACAGAGGGGUUGUUGUUGAAUACCAGUGUGUGACUUCAUUAGUACAUGGAUUCCACUGUCUCUGUGGUAGCCUGAAGCUGCAGGACAAAGAAACGGUGAGAACCUGAUGGUCGAUCCAUACAUGAACAAACAAACAGCCUCUAACUGAGAGGGGAAAGAAAAGCAAACACAUAAACACAAACACAUACUGUCAGAGCAGAGCGUCUCCAUGGCAACCCUCAGAACACAGGAGGGAGAAGAUGUCACACCAGCAGAUUCACCAUGGAAACACUGCCAUUAGACCAGGAAGUGUGUGUUCGCAUGUCUCUCCGCUCGUAUGUGUCUCUCUGUGUUGUGGAUAAACUGAAUACGUACGGAGAAAGACCCCCAUGAACACAGAGGAACUGCUGGUUCAUCAGGGCCGCCAGGGGCAGGCAAUCAAACGCCUCCAUGCAGGAAUCGUACACCUGCUCCGAGUACUUAAUCUUACCUGGAGGUGGAUGGAGAGAGAGAGGGAGAGAGAGAGAGAGAGAGGGAGAUUUUUAACAAGGUGGAGUUUGUUAUCUUGCAGGACCUCCACACUGCCUACUUUGCACACUCCUCGGUGUAAGGCAGAGCAGUAAAACACUGCUCCCUCCUGGAGCACAGAGCAGAUUCUCACAGGCAGUAAACAGAUACUGAGACGUUUUACUUUUUUUUUUUUUUUUCAGUAAGUUAAACUUGACCCAAAUAUGAGGCAGCGUCAGUGUAGAGUCGUCGCUGCCAGGCAGCAUCUCUGCUUCAAGAAGAACUGCUUUCAUUUUGGCAGCGCUGUCAACAGAGACAUCCAAAGACGAGCAGCGUCUUUAAGACGAUCUCACGCUGGCGUAACAAUAAAUUUGACACAAAACAAUAUCACAGGAUUAAAAUAACUGAAGGGAGAGAGCA